rnacentral:rRNA from 1 species
GGGGAAUAUUGGACAAUGGGGGGCAACCCUGAUCCAGCAAUGCCGCGUGUGUGAAGAAGGUCUUCGGAUUGUAAAGCACUUUCGACGGGGACGAUGAUGACGGUACCCGUAGAAGAAGCCCCGGCUAACUUCGUGCCAGCAGCCGCGGUAAUACGAAGGGGGCUAGCGUUGCUCGGAAUGACUGGGCGUAAAGGGCGUGUAGGCGGUUUACACAGUCAGAUGUGAAAUCCCCGGGCUUAACCUGGGAGCUGCAUUUGAUACGUGUAGACUAGAGUGUGAGAGAGGGUUGUGGAAUUCCCAGUGCAGAGGUGAAAUUCGUAGAUAUUGGGAAGAACACCGGUGGCGAAGGCGGCAACCUGGCUCAUGACUGACGCUGAGGCGCGAAAGCGUGGGGAGCAAACAGGAUUAGAUACCCUGGUAGUCCACGCCUGUAAACGAUGUGUGCUAGAUGUUGGGUAACU